UUCUUUUUUGGUCAUUAAAGC
rnacentral:piRNA from 1 species